AGUAUAUAAGGUAUGCUAAGGGGGCGUCGCGCUGUUGCAGGCUAUCGUGUGUUAACCUGUACUUCUGCCGCAGAGUUUGGAGAAAGCGGCAGCAGAUUGUGCUGCCGCAGGCUGGAGCCUGGAACCUGGAGCCCUGGAGCCUUGAAUGGUGUGUGGUGGCAAUGGAGAGAGGCAGCUGGCAGUGACAGCUGCUCCGUGCUUGGCUACAGGAAGGAAAGAAGGAGAAAGCACCUACCAUAGGCUGGAGGCUAGAGCCUGCAGGACUGCGGCUGGCCUCGCUGGCUCGCCUCCCUGGCUGGCCUCGCUGUGGUUGGUGGCAGCGACGGAUACUGCAGCUGGCCAGAGUGUAGAAAGGCAAUGGGGUAGCAAGGUAAGCUGUCAUCAGUUGGAGGUAAGCAGAAGACAGUAGAGAGUACAGAGCCCUGGACUGUGACUCAGAGGAUGAGCACCAGAUCCAGUUUGCUGUGCCACAGUGCUCAGCAUGAUGUAAACUCCACUGCGGACAGAUGCAGCCAAGAAGACAGGUCACCUUCUACCAACUCCCACCAGAGGAAACUCUUCCCCAGGACCCAGUACGUUGGCCCUCUGACCCUGCACACAGCACAUGAUGCUGAGGUUCAGUGCUGAACAAGAGCUACUGAGAGCCAGAGAUUCACUUCUUCCAUGGAGCCCCACUCAUGGAUGGAGGCUCUGUCCCGGGUCCAGUGCCACUGGGAACACUGGGUCUCUGGUUUCUAGCUCUGUCCUAUGGCAGAGGUUCCACCCCACAAUAACCGAAGUGCUGAGAAGGUGGGAAGCUCCUGCCCGACCCUCCACUGAGAGCUCAGCUCCUAGGCUGAGGAAUAAAACAGCUCAACUUUGUCUACACCUGCAGAACCUUGUUUAGGAGCUCUGUCCCAGGAGAGAGGGGGCAAUGGAAUUCAGUCAUAAAAUAUGAUCCUUAAUUAGUCCUAAAAAUCCUAACUUCAGUAACAGCAGAUUGUGGACAAAUUGAAAGCCUGCCAGUGCUCUCAAAAACAGUGGAUGGUGUGGUGGAAAGCCCUUGGAAGGAGACGGGUGGAUGCAUGGGAGAUGCAGGCUACACUGCAGGGCUGCUGGCUUGCAGGAGAGAACCGAGGACAAGGGAGAGCUGGGGAAAGUUCUCUUGUGGUUGAAAUAAAUGCCAGACACUCUUCAAUGGAGCCCAUGUUUGUUUGGUUCAGUCUGUGAAGUAAUUCAAACCUCAGUGCAUGAUUGAAAAUAGUACAAUUUUCCAUCUGCAAGUGGCAGAGCUCAACAUCUGGGUCUGGUCAGGAGAGAGACAGAGAGAGCCCAGCCCAAACCACUGACACCUGGGGUUGACAGUGCUGCUUACAGAUGUGUUCCUUUGAUCUUUGAGACUGGUUUCUCUCACUUAGCAUAAUGCCUGGAGUUCAACUGUAAUGGUUUGUGAAUCGAUCAUUUGAUAUUUUUUAUUGCUGAUGGAUUCAAUUUAUAGAUGCUUCCUAGUUUUUUCACCUACUCAAAUUUUGAGACAUUUAUGUUAUUUUUCAUUUCUAACACACACACAUGUAAUAUCUUGAAUAUUUGAAUAGAGGUUUUGUGUGAAAAUAAGAUUGUAUUUCUCUGAAGCAAAAUUCAAGAGUGGGAUAUUUAGGUCAUGUGUUAAGGGCAUGUUUGAUUGCAGAAAAAACUAAAAAUUAUUUUCC
ensembl:lncRNA LINC01193 long intergenic non-protein coding RNA 1193